UUGUGUUUAAGUUCGGGACUUAACCCAGUGUCGCAUGGGAAACUGCAAGGCUUGAGUGCAGAAGAGGAAAGUGGAAUUCCACGUGUAGCGGUGAAAUGCGUAGAGAUGUGGAGGAACACCAGUGGCGAAGGCGGCUCUCUGGCCUGUAACUGACGCUGAGGCGCGAAAGCGUGGGGAGCAAACAG
rnacentral:rRNA from 1 species